AAAUUAUCUAAUGCAUGUCUCCCAAAAGCGGGAACCGGUUUUGGGAUGAAAACAUGCAUAAAAACAAAAGUUUCGUGUCGUAAGAGUACGAUAAAACGCGGCGCGCUUUAAAUGGCAUCAAUUAACAGGCGGCCUCGCGGCGGGGCCGCCUGUUUUUUCUU
rnacentral:ncRNA from 1 species